ACGAAGGGUGCAAGCGUUAAUCGGAAUUACUGGGCGUAAAGGGUGCGUAGGCGGUUCGUUAAGUCUGUCGUGAAAUCCCCGGGCUCAACCUGGGAAUGGCGAUGGAUACUGGCGAGCUAGAGUGUGUCAGAGGAUGGUGGAAUUCCCGGUGUAGCGGUGAAAUGCGUAGAUAUCGGGAGGAAUACCGAUGGCGAAGGCAGGUCUCUGGGCUGACACUGACGCUCAUGCACGAAAGCGUGGGGAGCAAACAGGA
rnacentral:rRNA from 1 species